rnacentral:misc_RNA from 1 species
AAGUCGUAACAAGGUAACCGUAGGUGAACCUGCGGUUGGAUCAUUACUGAUGUAUUGGGUUGUUUAGCUGAGCUCUUUACUGAGCUCGCUUUUCCCCCCUUCUACACCAUGUGCACUAUAUUGUUUUUUGGGCUGAAUUUGUUUUCAGCCCAGCCAUAUAAACCUCUGUUAAUUAGUCUGACUUGUUUAUUGUAGUAAACGAUAACAACUUUUGACAACGGAUCUCUUGGUUCUC